rnacentral:lncRNA from 1 species
CCUCGCAAGAUCAGGCGUUAAAUAGGCCCGAGCUCUCGUCGGCGAUCCCUGCUCGAUGUCUCGUGACACCGGGCAUUAUUACUAUCCUGCCUGUUCUUCCACCUCACCAAUGGAGACGACAGACGACGUCGCAAGAUCAGGCGACCAGCUGGAGAAGAGAAGAGAGCAAGGCCCUCCUUUUUCUGGCGAAAUUUCGCGUGGCUGCGCAAAGGAUACCAAAUCUGGGACCACUAAUUAGGACCGAUCAGUAUGGUCGUAGAUUGCACUAACAGACAGCCUUUCUUUCGUUCGCAGGCCAGUGGAACCUGUGGAUCGCCUCAACUGCAGCGACUCAGCGAGGGCUGUUGCAGAGAUGCAGUAGUCGAGAGGCACAGAUAAAUCUAACCUAGGGAAGUACGUUAAAUCUAAACUAGUACUGGGGUACCUUAUUUCAGUUUAUUUGUGAUAUCAAAAUAAUAAUUUACUCUCAUAACUUUCCACCAUAAUCGAACUUAUAUAAUCUACUUAUAUAAUCUAGGAGAGCAAAACAAAUAGGGUCUAAAUAUCCACUAGCUAGCAAACCGAGUGUUUGAAACUAGGCUUGAUACACACGAAUGAAUAUUCACAUGGUUAGAACGAUUCUUCUGGAUCUCGCCUGCCCCAUGGCGCCCUGCCACGGAACGCACAGAUGCUCCUGGUCAGUGCUUGGCAGCUCCACGCUUGCGCGGCCUGGGUCGAGCCGAAGACGCACCUGGACCCUUGCGAGGUUUCCUAGACCGAGCCUUCUUUGCCUCGUAACCUAUAGCUUUCAGGUCCUCGCAUAUCUCCUGCCUCCCUAGAAGGAGCCCAGGAACUAUCUCCCUCUGGAAAUUUCUCAUGCCCCUCCCUCUCUUUAGCUUGAUCCGACAUGCUGGCCCUUCCUUGAAAGGUGGGGUCACGGUGACGGAUUGCCCGUCAUCUUUGGCCUCCUCUGAAUCCAACACGGUUUUCUCGAACGAGUCCAACGAAGGCUGAGGCUCGUCGUCCACCUUCUGAGCUGCUGUCUGGUUGCUGCUUCCAGGGCGAUGAGCAACACAUUCAGAACUAUGCUGAAACAUGGAAAGAAGGGUUCUAGCUGCAGUAUCAGCUGUGGUGCCACCAUCGUCGACCUUACAUUGAAG